GAGGAGCCUGGAGAGGACACUUCCCCAGCCACAGACCAUGCUGGUGUGAGGCAGCAGCCUGAGGUGCUCCUUUGUGAAGGGUCACAGCAUAUCACUCCCCUGCCUCUCACCACUGUUGGGAAGGAAUGCAUUUCAGGUGUCCCCAACCCCUCCCGCCCUGAGUGAACACACCCCCAGACAAAACCUCUAAGGGGGCCAAGGGGAAGGGAGCAGCCCAGGCCCCUUGCAAUGCUGAGAGAGGUGCAGCCAGCAAGGAGGCAAGUGGCUCAUCUGUCAGUUCUAACCAUGAGGAGCUGGUGUGCGCCUACCACGCCCACAGCCACACCAAUGGAGGGCCAACGACACUCAAGUCUGGCCAGUGUGUGGUGACAAGUAGUGAGGUCACCACUGAAUCUGACACACCUGCUGAGCCUGACCUGGUGUCUUUCUGUGCUGCCCUGGGCAACAACUGAGCCCUGUGAGUCCCUGCCCUCUUCAAGCCAGACGGGGACUACCAGACUGUGGCUGACAUGGUGGGUGGCGGUCGCUCCAGGACAGAGUCAACCACCAGUCACGAGGAAAGUUUGGACGAGGCCAGAAGUGCGUCAUCCCACCACAGGUCACGGGGACAGGAACUGUUGGCCAGGCAGGGUCACCGUCCCUCCCACGGCGACCCGGAUUAUAGCUACGCUCACCCUGUGAAGAAGCAGUGCCUUCCCCCACCCCUCCACUGUCCUCCACUGACAGCAACAGGUGUAUGAGUUAGUGAUAGUGAGGUCACUGACAGACAGACUCGCCAAAUUGUUCAUUAGUAAAAGUUCCGUGGCCACUAAGUUUGUAAUUUGCCUCUGUGUCUAUUUUUCCAGCCUUUUUAUUCAUUGAUGUACACUUUUGCCUUUCACUGCUUCCUCCUUUAAUCCAUUCUAUAUCUUUAUAUAUUUACAUGGAAAGAUAUGUUUGCAUUAUUUGAACAUUCUCUCUCUCUCUCUCUCUCUCUCUCUCUCUCUCUCUCUCUCUCUCUCUCUCUCUCUCUCUCUCUCUCUCUCUCUCUCUCUCUCUCUCUCUCUCUCUCUCUAAUAUUGAGGUUCAUCUCUUGUCCAUAACAAAAGGGCAUUUCUGUCUGGUUCCUCAGGUUGGUUGACUAACCCUAAAGCUGCAGGGGUUUUCACACAUUUCUCCAUUUCAUAUGUCACUACUCCUAUGUGGAAAGAUGUGUGUUAUUUAGGAAGCUCUCUUCUAUCCGAGUUUCUUUUAAUCUUUAUCAUCAUGUGUCAAGUCAUCCAGUUCUGGCACUAUCUUAGUGGUUGUUCUUUGUAUUCUUUCAAAUCUCUACAUGAAACAUCACUGAAUUAAUUAAGCUUAGCAGAAAUUAUGUGAUGUGCCCUACUGAUGCUGGUGUGAAGGUGAGGUGUUUGUAGUGAGCCGUGUGAUGCCUUCCCCAGUGCUGAAUAUGGAGAGGGCAGCCAGACCACGUACAGGCGACGCCACACACUGGAGUUUUUUGAAGUGGAGUGCGACCACUCUUCCAUCAAGCAAGUGGGAAGUGGACUGGCGCUGGUCCCUGUGUUGCACCGUCACCCAGACCAGCUGUCACCUGGCAGUACAGGCAGUGCCACGUAGUGUGUCACUCAGCCUGUUAUGUACUGCCCUUGGCACAGUGUGUGAUAUCAGACUGCAGGAGUGGAGCCUCUGGAGCAGCUGAUGGCUGACCUGGAGCUGGAGAAGAUGGUUCAGGAUGCCAGCAAGACAGCUCUUUGACACUUCCAGUAGUGGUAGAAGCCUCCCAUCACCACCCUCACUCCUCUGCCACUGCUGACCACAACACUGAGGCUGUAUUCUUCAGGACCUGAUUGUUGCUUGGACUUGAGGCUUCCCUGCUUGGGACUGGCAGUUCUGCAAACAGCUGUUAGUGACAGUGUCCGCAGGACAACAGUGUAGGUGGUGUCCUCUGGAGGUCCUUCACCUGCAUGGAACUAAGUCCACCUGUUGUAAUACUUGAAUGCGUAAGUGCUCAUCUUGAAGAUUUUAAUUACUGCAGUGGUCACCAUCUCAGACCUGACUGCCACAGGUACUUACUGUACACACUGCUAUCUAUAAUCCAGUGCUUAGCAGUUUCUUAGUUAUGGUUAUCAACUAUCUGGAUAAAUUUUACACAGCAACAUUAAAUUACAACAUGUACACAACAGCAAACUUUGGAGGGGUUUUAAGCAUUGCUACCAUCAGUCCGACCUAGCUAACCAACCUAACAACCUACCCUAACCUAACUCUUCCUCAACAAUGUAGAACAUAUAUUUAACCUCAACAAUGAAGAACAUGUUUAAAAUGAUUUUCUUUUUUCUAGAAGUUUGGAUCCCAAAGGGUGAGCAGAAAGAAAAUUUUUAUCUCCCAUUAUGCAACAAAGUCAUUUAGGGAAUUUGGUCAUAUUACUUAAAGCAGUGUCCAAAACAUUAGUUAACUAAAUUCCAUAUGCAAUUUACAGUUUGGUCAAGAUAAAAUAAUAAGCAAAUAUGCUAAUGGGCUAAUUUUUACUCCCACCAGUUUUCUAAUGUGGAUGAAACUAUUUAUUUCUCGUAUUUUUUGGCCUGUUUUGAAUCAAUAUGGUUCUUGUUUUUAUGGAAAUCAUUAGCCAUUAUUUUUUACUCCCUGGAAUACUAUGAUGAUUGGUGGCUGUGGGCACAUAACAGUUUAUAAACAAUGUCUCAUGGCAUUCUUGGUGAUAACACAAAGCCUUCCUGUGAUUGGCUGCCUUGCGUGUUACAUUGAAUCAGUGACAUAUCGCCUCCGGCAGCCAGUGAGCACUCUCAGAUGCAUCCUGAUGCAUCCUCUCCUCUGGGCAGCAAUGACUGCUGCCACUGCUGCUGCUUGAUCAAGGAGUGAGGAUCCACACUUCCAGAUUCUAACAAUGCAACACCAGACAUCUCUGUAAAGGAUUGACAUUGAUGAUUGACAAAUUUAAAACCUUUUGAGUGAAUGAAAUGCAAUAAAACUCAAGUGAAGACGU